CAGGUCACUCCUACGGGAGGCAGCAGUAGGGAAUCUUGCGCAAUGGGCGAAAGCCUGACGCAGCCAUGCCGCGUGAAUGAUGAAGGUCUUAGGAUUGUAAAAUUCUUUCACCGGGGAAGAUAAUGACGGUACCCGGAGAAGAAGCCCCGGCUAACUUCGUGCCAGCAGCCGCGGUAAUACGAAGGGGGCUAGCGUUGCUCGGAAUUACUGGGCGUAAAGGGCGCGUAGGCGGAUGUUUAAGUCGGGGGUGAAAGCCCGGGGCUCAACCUCGGAAUUGCCUUCGAUACUGGACAUCUUGAGUACGGGAGAGGUGAGUGGAACUCCGAGUGUAGAGGUGAAAUUCGUAGAUAUUCGGAAGAACACCAGUGGCGAAGGCGACUCACUGGCCCGUUACUGACGCUGAGGCGCGAAAGCGUGGGGAGCAAACAGGAUUAGAUACCCUGGUAGUCCACGCUGUAAACGAUGAGUGCUAGUUGUCGGCAUGCAUGCAUGUCGGUGACGCAGCUAACGCAUUAAGCACUCCGCCUGGGGAGUACGGUCGCAAGAUUAAAACUCAAAGGAAUUGACG
rnacentral:rRNA from 1 species